ACCUUGUCUCCGAUUAACUGGUAGUACUGGUUGUAUGCCUACUUUUACCGCUGAAUGCGCAUCGCGCAUCGGUGAUAUCGCGACAUCGAGCAGAACGGAGAUCGAUAAGAUAUAAGUAUCGAUCGAGGGGAGACAGAGUUCGCUGAAUGAAGUGGAAUAUUAAAUGUCCGCUCGUGUAUUAGCUAACGGUAAAAAACGCGUGAUUCACUUCAUUGCGCACAAUAUGUCGCGCGAAAUCGCCGUGUGGGCGAUUGAUAAUAGCCACGUCCACGAGAUAAUAGGGACGCGAUAGCAACGACAGAAAUAGUUGUAAUACAAAGAUUGCAACAAGUGAAAUAACAUGUCGCGAGUUCUCUUUAUCUCCACCUCUUCUUUCCUCUUUAUACCUAGUGAUAAAUCAAUUCUGAAUAAAAAUAUUAAAAAAAAACAACGCGUAGAUAACGCGUAGAACGAUGGGCGAUAAUGUCGAUCAGAAAUAACGUGAAUAUAUAUCGUAGAUUUGUCAUAUCACCGGCAGAAAAUGAAGAAGCAACAGCUGUAUUUUCGAAUAUUGAGACCUGCAAAGCCGAAGCGUACACAGAGAAAAAAAUAUUAAUUGAAUUAAGGGGCUAGUCCAGUGGUUUUUCUUCAAAAAAUCGAUUUUUCAGAAACAUCAGUUUCGUAUAGAAUAUACACGUAGAAAUAUGAUAGAAGUGACCUGAAAUGUUUUGACGCCGAAAACCGGUCGAAAUUCGAGCGAACAAUAGAAGAGGUCGAGCGCGCCGCUGUACACCUGCCGCGUCAUCGGCCCUGUUUUCAGGCUCUAUCCUGUCUAGACCGGCAUGCAUUGUUCCCUUGAAUUUCGGUUUCGGUUAGAGAGCAAUACAGUGUCUGCAGUCGUGAAGAACAGACGUAUUUGAGAGCAGUGGAAAAUUUUGUAAAAUGGAUAAAAAGCAUAGCAAAGAAACGACGAGUGAUCGCCGUCCAAAAAAGCGAAAAUUUUGUGGAAACCGAUAUACAUCAGAAAAAGAUACAAGUUCAACAAGCACGUCAGCAGAAAAUUAUGGAAGUUAUGGGCGUUACAAUUGGCAAAGGAGCAGCAGAAUUCGUACAGCGGUGUGAUCAGGCACGUAUUGAAUUGGCCAACCAACGCAGCUCUACCCAAUCAAAAGAAAGCCGAACAGCCCGCAGAAAUGUAAGAUUGGAAGAAAAUGAUGCUUACGAACAGGCAGAGGGAAUAAUGUAUGGUCCUGGCAUCGCUGAUUAAAGAUGAUUCAGACCCGAGAAAUCUUGACUACCGUUUCAAAAUGGGACCAACUUCAUGUGGCUACAGCGCAGAAAAUAUGAUAUAUAUAUAUAUAUAUAAUUUUUUUAUGAGUUAUAUAUGUUCGCUUUUAAAUGUAAAAAGAUUGGUACGCAUUUACAAACUUCAAUAUUAAAUAAAAAUUCUUUUCUAACCCAUACGAAACCACUGGACUAGCCCCUUAACUCACGACAAUGAAGAAACUAAAUGCAUUCUAAUCGGAUCGGCCAAAUUUGAUUCGCAAGAACCUAAAAUUCCGUUGUCUUCGACAAAAAUGCGUCUCGUUCAUUCACUAUCACAUUAAUUCGACCAAACCUUGUUCUCCGUCUACAAUUUGUAGUUUCAAGCACACGUCAUCGCUCUCAACGUAUCACAUCCGGCGAUUACACGCGUCGACCGAUCUACGCGGCCAUUUUUUCCGUGUAAUUUCGUUACUCCGGAAAGGAACACGAAACGAGGAAAAAAUUUGAUAAACGUUUGUCUCGAAAUAUAAAAUUAAACGUCAACGUUUAACAAAUAUCGCGACAUAAUUGCGGCUAUGUGUGUGUCACGCCUGUUGUAUGUGUCACGAUAAUUGUGGAAAAUGACACAUCAGGAAAUCCCCGACGGCAUUAUAGACUCGAUAAUUAUCGGAAAGGCUGACGGAGGAAGGAAAAUUGCAGCCAAUGCUUAAUGAUCUUGAUAUAUCUUAACACUUAAGGUGAUGCGAGGAAUUCGAAUGUCAUGCGAAACAUGCAACAAGUGCAGGAAAAUCGCGCGAGUGCCUGAUUUCAGUCGAGAACCGCACGGCUGGAUUUCGCGGAGCAAAUGAUGCGAGAAAAACCGUAAUCGCGCGAUCGCGUUCGAUCGUUCUCAAAAUCCCGUUUCCAAUCAUUAUCAUUCAAUCGAUAAGAAGUUUAUCCUUGCUUACUGAUAUAUCAAAAAUAGUUCGCGAUUCCACGGAUGUGACGGGUCGCCUCGCGCAUUUAAUUUUACCGUAUCGCGAUUGAAAAGAAUUGUUUUUAAUUAUUCGGAGAGUGGCAUCUGAUCUGCGAAUUAAGCUAAACUCUGAUCCUGAAAUCUCGAAGUCGCCGGUGAAUUUUUUUUUCUCGGAAUAGUGUAAUCUUAAUCGUUCUCACGACAAACAAUCACCGAGAUAACAUUUCGUUAUAAUUGAUUUACUAAUCGAAACGAUCAACACGUCGCGAUAACAAUUGAACGAGCUGUAACACCACAAAUAUUGUACAAUUAUCUUUUUCCUUGAAUAUUAGAAUUUUAAUUCCCGUACAAAUUGUUUAAGAUCUCAACGAGCAUUUCCUCCAAUGCUAUUUGCUCUACUUCCAUAGACGUUUAUUCAUUUAGUUCGAAUCACCAACGUAUCGUACUAUGACAAUCGUCUUAAUUGGCAUAUUACUCGUGCGUUAUUAUUUAAUUUCUGCUUCGCAUUCCUUCGCUCAACGAAAUAUCUUUCGUUCGUGCAAAAUUCGCAGAACAAAAUGGUGCCUGUUGCAUCGAGCACUGCUAAUAGCAGCACACCUAAUACGUAAUCAUUGCACAAAGUUGCGUAACCAGUCUGCAGAAAAUAAAGAUAAGUGAUAACGGAAGUGACGGCUUCUCCAAGUCGCGGCUUUUGACAGAUAAAUGUACCAUCGUAAUCACACAUGCGACAGGAAAAGGAUAUAACAAGAAUUCCGAGAAACGGUGAAACGCCGAGCCGCGGCGAAUAGUCGGCUGUCUUUUCUUUUUAUGAAUAUUAUUCGUGUCAAGAACGAUGACUCGUACAAGUGAACAUGGAAUUUUUAUCGUUGAAUACGUCCAGAUAAGGAGCAAAAAAAUCGCAGUUGGAAGUAAGCAAAAUUGUCUCCCGAAAAAUAUAUAAAAACAUAUCUUUCUAACGCUUCAGUAGAAUUUCGUAUGAGUGACUCGACCAAAAGUAAGAUCUCCUCUCUCGGUUAGUUAAUUUAAUUAAAAAUUAUUUCGACGUGCGACGAUCGAGUUACGUUAAUAAUCGUUUCUAAUGACGGCAACAUGUGAUGGCAACAUAAUCACGCGCGAGUCACUCUUUCCGAGUGCAUUUGGCACCAUUUCACGACGCGGAAACUAUCUCUUUCACUUGACAUGUAAUUUCUCCUUUAUGCAAUCGAAAAGAAUGUGCAUCGUUCAUACAUAUGAAACAAGGCAAUAAAUAUUCAUUCAGUCGUUUCAUUGAUGCUAACGACGACAAACGAAUACUGACGCUUAUAUCAUUCACAAAUCAAUCGCGAUCUCACUAUCGGUUAUUUUUCGGACGUUAAGCGGCGAGUUCAGAAGAUAAUAAGUCGUUCGUGAAAAGUAUUCCACGACGAUGAUUGUAUCCGACGCAGAUGACGUCACGAUCACUCAUCAUCCCAUCCGCGAAUGACUAUAAUUAAAGCGAACGCGUCACGAUAAUGUGGCCUAAAGGGAACAAAUAGCACGCUCUCGAAAAUUAAUUCGCGGCGAAGCGUCAGCGACGCGUGCAAGAAUGCACGAUGGACGUCGAGAAAUUGCAUUCAAGGAUAUUUGCAAGAACGGCGACAGUCCUUUUUCGCGAUGUAACGCGGUCUGACCUUUUCACGAGCGACGUGAAGAUACCGUAAGGAAGAUCGCACUGCCAUACGAAUGAGCGAGCGUGGACGUUUGAAAAACGAGAAAACAAGUGCGCGAUGUUUAUCUCCGCGGAAAAUUGGCACUGAAAUUCUGAUCUCUCGGAUACCGAAGAGGAAAUAUUUUCAGAGAUAUAUCUCUGAUAAAAGAGAGAACCCACACUGAAUUUACAAUGAAAAAUUUCGAAAUCACGCUGGAAUUUCAACGCAACGAAUCUCGAAUGCUGCGAGUUGAGUUCGGCGAAACCCUCCAUCUUGUUAUCGCAACGGAGUGUACCGCGAAUGACCUUAACGAUAAAUUAUCCUAUGUUCGUCCGCCGUUAAUCCGUGGAAAAUUUCGCGCGGUCCGUCUGCGUCACGUCAAUAGGAAUAUCUCGCGAGACGGGGAAAAUGUGUUUUUCUCCGGUGUGUAUCUUCCCCGUCGGAGUUCAGCGCGACAUUGAAACGCUGCACGCCGCGUGAGCAACGAGAUCGCCCGCUGCGCAUCUACUAAUUUUAGCCACCCCGUAUAGGUGUCCGGUUUACAUCUGAAACGGCGAACGCCCGUCCAUCUAGCAACCGAUAAAUGAUGGAUAUGUAAAUAAUACGAGCUACGUGGAUGCUGAGCCGCGUACUCGAGCUUCGGCCGGUGAAAAUCCCGAAGAUUAGCUCGUCUAACACGACGCUUGAGAGAUUAUAACUCUUGCUGAUUCGACUACCUCGCUCAUCUCCACCUUGACUUACGCGUCGGAUGGAGCGCACAAUUUAUAAUGACGACAGUGAUAAAAUUAUAAUUAGGCAACGAAGUUAGGCGCAGCUGUGAGUUCAUCGCAACCACGUGUACCGAAUAUAAUGCGUCGCGUUGGAUGUUGAAGAUUUUACGAUAAUGCGGUUAGCAUUGUCCUAACGUCGCACGUAAUGUCGUGUGCUCGGGGACGCAAGGACAUCUCAGAUUUUCUAAACCGUAAAGCGAGAGGAGGAAAAAGGAAAACGAUAGGAAAGCGAGCGAAAAGCAGGUUUCGAUGGUAGCACGGUCAUAUUUAUCUUAUUCUUCGAGAGGAACGUCAUUCUUUUCCUCUGCUUCUUCUCCCUCCUCCUUCUCAAGGACGUAACUUUUACGAUGAUGCAUUCGGUGAUUCUAGGCGCCGUUUAUCCUGUCUGCGUAUCGACUUUCGGACGAAGCAGGAACUAUUCGGGGUGACGGUCUCUUACGCAACGAUCUCCUUUGUUCUCUGACGAAAGGACAAAUUCCAUGACCGCAUGAGACGGAAUUCAAUGUGCGACGAGUAUGACGACGUAGGGAAGCGAACGGGGGGGGGGGCAGGGGGACCUUGAGCCAUCAAAGAAA